UACUGCUAGAUUUUGGAUAGCUUCAUGGAGUAAUCAGCAUUCAAUGUGCUAAUAUUCUCCCAUCAUCUGCUCAAAUAAUUAUUUUCGCCCUAAGGAAGACGACGACGACGUCGGGUACUAGGUUCGGCCAUACAUACGUUACCUAGUAAUUAUAGACUCUGUAGACUGACGGACUCUGGGAGGCUUGAAACCUAUCCCAAGUCUGGGAAGGAUCGCGAAGUGUGGAAGAGAUGCAGUUCUGUUCGGGGGUCGUAGGGACUUAGGGCCGGUGGAUCAUUGGGCCGAAAGCCCUAAACAAUAGAUGAACUGCUUUUAAAUUUCGCUUUGGUAAUUUUAGUAGUCAGUGGGCCUACAGCCCAACUUCUUUUAGUAGAGUCCUGGGGCCUGUGAGCCCAGUUGCAGUUGUUAUUGGUUAGCAAUCCGUUCCGUGAUAGUGGCCUGAGGGAUGUAGAUUCUUGGCUUUUGGUACGGAUUUGUCAGGCAAGCCGAAUGCAAUGAAGUUGUUAUUAAUUAUUUGUUCUCUCUCUCUUCCCUCUCUCGUCCAUCUCUCUUUUCAAUUUGUGGAGGAACUCACCCUCGAAGUGAGCUUAUUGCCGGUAAGUGUAUUACAAAACCCUAAUUGCCGAAGAGCUUUCAGAAAAUAAAAAACAUAAAAAAUGCCGCUGUUUUUAGCUCAUUCCAACUCUCUUUGGUUGGUUCUGUGCAAAUGGCACACUUAUGAUUAUCGUAGCAUCUCCGAUGAAUUCGACGGGGUCGAAGGUGCAUGAUCGGGUUUUUCUUUCCUUUUCUUUUGGCAGCAUAACUCUGCCUCGUAUAAAUUUCGCAACGCAGUAUGGAAAAUGCAACGCCCGGGUUUGCUUCCCUCGGACCCUCGGCGUUAUUUCUCAUACGGAGGGGCCCAAUUGACCAACAAUGCACCAGUUCUGUAGCGUGGCCGAGCUCAGAGCUCCUCACGCGCACUCUGCCAUGCUUCAAGAUUGUAUCCAAUUAAAAGGUGAUCCUUCUUCAGGGAAGGUUCUCGACUGUGAGAUUCUCAAAAGAGGUGGUUGUUUGGACCUAGUCGGUUACAACGUCCUACGCAACAGUGAGCAUGUGUGUCAAAUCCGAGUGCUUCUAUGGUGUUGUUAAUCUGUUCAACGAAAUGCCUGAUAGAAAUUCGAUCUCGUCUGUUACGUCAAUUCACCGAUACGUGCUGUCGUUGCAAUUCAUUGUUAGUCAAUGGUCACGAGCUUGAACCUUUUAUUUUUUCUGAGAAGUCUGGAGUUGCUCCUGAGUAUGGGAUGGGCUGAGCUAGGUUGGACCAUUCAUGCUUCUAAUCCUAAAGCUUGGUCAUGACUUUCAUACAUUUGUUGGGACUACUCUUUUGUAUGUCUUCUCUGUUUGUGAGGACGUUGCUACCGCAAGAGCGGUUUUUUUAUGGACUUGCUAUUAUUCUGAGUGAUUGUUUGUAAGAGGCUAUAGAUGCUUUUUCUCUAAUGAGAAUAUUUGGGUUUGAGCCAAAUAAUUUUACUUUCGGGUGUUUGCUCUGGAUUUAAUACCUUUAAUGCGGAGAUGAGCGUUCAUGGUUGCAAAACCGCACAUUGAGAACUCGCUUAUCUUUGAACCGGAUCUUUUGUGGGUGUUGCAUUACUUGAACCUUAGCUAGCCUGGGGCCUGGGCACAUUCUAGGCAGAUCAGGCCAUCUUGAUAAAGCCUAGUGUUAUAUCUGGCGUGCUUUACUUGGAGCUUGCUUUAUCCAUAAUAAUGUUGAGCUUGAGAGUUUCUGCACGGCGUGUGCUUGUGAUGAAUGGCAAAGAUGAGGCGAUCCAUUUGUUAUUGUCAAAUAUGUAUGCUACUGCAAAAAGGUGGGAAGCAUGGCUUCCGUUUGGGAGCAAAUGAAAAUGAAAGGAGUAAAGAAGGAACCGGGCCUAAGUUGGAUUGAAAACCAGGGAAUAGUUCAUUAUUUCACUGCUGGAGAUUCUCCACAUCCCGGCAUGAAACUAAUUAAUAGGAUGCUGGAAGUUUUGAACAUGAAAACCAGGAAGGCAGCAUAUGUUCCUAAUCAUAAUGCAGUUCCACUUGAUGUGGAACAUCUCUUGUCGUUAUGCAGUGAAAGACAUAACCUUGGGUUAAUUAAAAUUCCAUCUGGGAGACCUAUUCACAUCAUUGAAAAUCUCCAAACAUGUGUGACCGUCAUGCUGGACUGAAGUUAGUAUCAACGGGUAUCCAUCACUUUCUGGAUGAAAUUCUCUAUUCUGGCAAUUAUUGGGUGAUUCUUGAUCUUGAACACUAUUCUGUCCACGGCCUCGGGUUCAGUGCUAAGAAGCUGGCAGGAACUUGCUCUCUUGUAGGUUGCAGAUAAUAACUGCUGUGCUGUGAAACCUGUUUCACACUUGGAGUGGAAAAGUCAGCCAUAAGAAAUGGGACUUGAUACUUUGCUUGCAGUCUAUGGAUAUUGCAUGGUGAGGUCAGAUGCAGAACCAGAUUGAAUAUUCUGAAAGGUAGCUCUGAGUGAAAGCUAUAUAGCUCGUCAUUGUUCGACUCUUCUGUUCCUCUGCCAGGUUUGGAUUUGGGUUUGGUUGAAUUUCAUCCGAAUGGGAAGUCAUGUAGACGAGCUGACACAAGAUUAUUCCUCAUUUGUACACUUAACUGCAUUUGGGUGUCGUGUGGGAAUUUAAUGGCUUCAUUUUCUUUGAUGUAUAUUGUAUAAAAAUGGCCAAG